rnacentral:rRNA from 1 species
UACGGAGGGUGCAAGCGUUGCUCGGAAUUAUUGGGCGUAAAGGGUAGGUAGGUGGUCUCAUUUGUCUGGGGUGAAAGCCUUGAGCUUAACUCAAGAAGUGCCCCGGAAACGGUGAGACUCGAGUGCUGGAGAGGGUCGUGGAAUUCCCGGUGUAGCGGUGAAAUGCGUAGAGAUCGGGAGGAACACCAGAGGCGAAGGCGGCGACCUGGACAGCUACUGACACUCAACUACGAAAGCGUGGGGAGCAAACAGG